rfam:Triticum aestivum genome assembly, contig: Triticum_aestivum_CS42_TGACv1_scaffold_031499_1BL
UUGGUACUCCCUCCGUCCGGAAAUACUUGUUGCACAAAUAGAUAAAAUUGGAUGCAUCUAGAACUGAAAUAUGCCUAGAUACAUCCAUUUCCCCGACAAGUAUUUCCGGACGGAGGGAGUAUUUG